rnacentral:snRNA from 1 species
GGAUAUGAGGGACAUCUGUCACCCCAUUGAUCACCAGGGUUGAUUCAGCUGAUCUGGCUGGCUAGGCGGGUGCCCCCUUCCUCUCUCACUGCUCCAUGUGCGUCCCUCCCAAAGCUGCGCGCUCAGUGGAAGAGGACGACCAUCCCAGAUAGAAAGAGUGUACCGUUCUUCGGCCAAGGGUAUACAAUAGCUGCGCUCAAGGGUGGAACCAGCAGUAGGGAUGGGCUUGGGUGCCUGCAUCCCUCAUU